rnacentral:lncRNA from 1 species
UAUGAUGAAUUUGUUGCAUCAGAUGGUUAAUAUGUUGCACCAGAUGGGUAAUCUGUCGGAGGAAACAGUAGCACGAUUUUGUUAAACAAAACACAACAAUUUCACCAUUUUUACUAAGAACAAGAAGAAAACAAAUCAAACCAAAUUGUCCUUUUAUUUUUAUAAAUGCAAACAAUAAAAAUCAAACUUCAAAAAAAUGCAACAAACAACAAAAUAUCAUAAUUCACUUCGAAAAAAGAAGAGAAGAGAAGAAAUAUCAGAAAUUAGGGUUUUAUUCAGACCGCAUUUCAAAUUAGUGCAACAAAUAUUGAAAUUGUUAACCAAUACUAUAAGAGAAGUUGGCUUAAGUUCCUUGUUUUCUUCAAAACUAAGAAGGCCAUAAAUUUUUACCUGUGAAAGAAGAAAAGAACCGAGGAAGAAUUCGAAGCUGUUGUGGCCGGAGAGCAAGGCUGUCACGUCGAUUGAAGUCGAAAAGGAACUGGAAUCCCAACUAUUUGAAGUCGCCGAGGAUUGAAAUAAGAAAUUUGUAGAACAGUUGGUUGAGAGAGAGUUGAGAGAAGCUGUCGAGAGAGGGAUGAGAGACAGGUUGAUUGAAUUGAAGAGGGGAACUCGAAGCCCAACUAUUUGUCGUUGGGGGCUGAAGGGAGAAAUUUUGCAGAACUGUUGGUUGGGAUAGAGUUGAGAGAAGCUGUCAAGAGAGAGAGAGUGGUUGAUUUGGAUUGAAUAGGGUGUGGGUUGAGUUGAUUUGUAUUUUUGAAAAGAUUAAAAAGUUUUGAAAAUAUUAAUCAAGUCCACAAUUAACUUGAUCAAGUUUCCUAAUAAUGUUUGACCCUAUCUGUUGGUCAAUAUUACCAAUCCUUCAUUCAAGACUUAAAAGACACCUAUUCUUCAAUUUUCUCCUGUAUCUUGUAGUUAGUUUUUCAAUUUUUCAAUCAAAGGGUUUUUUCCUAUUCACUUGAUUCUAUUUAUAAUUUCAAUAUGGUAUUAGAGCUAUGAAUCGAAGAUUGAUUCAACAGAGAAUUCAACUACAUAUUUCACAAUUGUUAUUGAUCUUCUAUGAAAACCAGCAGCAACGAAGAGUGCACUGGGCGUCACCAUGGAUAUAAGGGCAGCUACGAUUGAAAGAAGAAAUUUACCUAAAGUGAAAUCAUUCCUUUUAUCUUCACACUUUGGAUACUUCUGGAUGUAUCCUCACAGCUGUGAAACUUACGGGAAUGAAUAAUUACUCUCUAGGGAGCAUAUCCAUGUUGAGUAAUCUUCGAGCAAAGAGCAAGCUGAAGUUUGUGUUAGGAACGUGCGAGAGGAGUAAUUACGGAGGAGUAUUAGAAGAAGAGUUGAUAAAAUGCAGUGCCUUUGUGCUUGCAUUGAUCAUGAAUAUAGUAUCAAAAGAGUUGUUGAGUGGCAUUGUUUAUACAACAAAUGUUGUUGCAGUGCGGGUAGAUUUGAAAGAGCAAUUCGACAAAAUUGAUGGAUCAAGGGGUUAUCGAUUACAGAGAGAGAUAUGUACAGUUCAUCAAGGUAAUUUGACUAUUUAUGUAUAUUUUCUACGUUACACAUUUUGUGGGAUGAAGUUGAUGCUCUUGUUCCACCUUCUUUAUGCAAGUGUGAUAAAUCUAGAACCUAUGUAGAUAAUCUAGCAUGUUUAUGAGUAUUCUCUUUUAUGAUGGAAUUGAGUGAGGCGUAUGCACACGCAUACAACCAUAUUUUAAUGAUGAAUUCUUUGCCUAGUGUGGAAAAGGCAUAUGCUACGAUAAUGACAGAUGAGAGUCAGCGUGUGACCUCAGAUCCCACACUGGAUGAUAUAGGUUGGAUUUGACUGGGACUACCUUGUAUGCAGGAAAGGAAAAUUUUAAGAAAAAGGUUCAGUUUUAA